rnacentral:rRNA from 1 species
CCGUACACAAAAGCGCAUGUGCUGUGAGCUCGAUGAGUAGGGCGGGACACGUGGUAUCCUGUCUGAAUAUGGGGGGACCAUCCUCCAAGGCUAAAUACUCCUGACUGACCGAUAGUGAACCAGUACCGUGAGGGAAAGGCGAAAAGAACCCCGGCGAGGGGAGUGAAAAAGAACCUGAAACCGUGUACGUACAAGCAGUGGGAGCACCCUUCGGGGUGUGACUGCGUACCUUUUGUAUAAUGGGUCAGCGACUUAUAUUCUGUAGCAAGGUUAACCGUAUAGGGGAGCCGGAGGGAAACCGAGUCUUAACCGGGCGUUAAGUUGCAGGGUAUAGACCCGAAACCCGGUGAUCUAGCCAUGGGCAGGUUGAAGGUUGGGUAACACUAACUGGAGGACCGAACCGACUAAUGUUGAAAAAUUAGCGGAUGACCUGUGGCUGGGGGUGAAAGGCCAAUCAAACCGGGAGAUAGCUGGUUCUCCCCGAAAGCUAUUUAGGUAGCGCCUCGUGAAUUCAUCUCCGGGGGUAGAGCACUGUUUCGGCUAGGGGGCCAUCCCGGCUUACCAACCCGAUGCAAACUGCGAAUACCGGAGAAUGUUAUCACGGGAGACACACGGCGGGUGCUAACGUCCGUCGUGAAGAGGGAAACAACCCAGACCGCCAGCUAAGGUCCCAAAGUCAUGGUUAAGUGGGAAACGAUGUGGGAAGGCCCAGACAGCCAGGAUGUUGGCUUAGAAGCAGCCAUCAUUUAAAGAAAGCGUAAUAGCUCACUGGUCGAGUCGGCCUGCGCGGAAGAUGUAACGGGGCUAAACCAUGCACCGAAGCUGCGGCAGCGAACGUAUCACCCAAGACAACUUUACGGAGUUGACGAUUGACGGAGCGAAGCGACGUCAAAGCGUUCAUUAAAGUCGAGUUGGCUUAGGGAUACGUUCGUUGGGUAGGGGAGCGUUCUGUAAGCCUGUGAAGGUGUGUCGUGAGGCAUGCUGGAGGUAUCAGAAGUGCGAAUGCUGACAUAAGUAACGAUAAAGCGGGUGAAAAGCCCGCUCGCCGGAAGACCAAGGGUUCCUGUCCAACGUUAAUCGGGGCAGGGUGAGUCGACCCCUAAGGCGAGGCCGAAAGGCGUAGUCGAUGGGAAACGGGUUAAUAUUCCCGUACUUGGUGUUACUGCGAAGGGGGGACGGAGAAGGCUAUGUUGGCCGGGCGACGGUUGUCCCGGUUUAAGCGUGUAGGUGUGUGUUCCAGGUAAAUCCGGUUCACUUUAACACUGAGGCGUGACGACGAGGCACUACGGUGCUGAAGCAACAAAUGCCCUGCUUCCAGGAAAAGCCUCUAAGCAUCAGGUAACAUCAAAUCGUACCCCAAACCGACACAGGUGGUCAGGUAGAGAAUACCAAGGCGCUUGAGAGAACUCGGGUGAAGGAACUAGGCAAAAUGGUGCCGUAACUUCGGGAGAAGGCACGCUGACACGUAGGUGAAGUGAUUUACUCAUGGAGCUGAAGUCAGUCGAAGAUACCAGCUGGCUGCAACUGUUUAUUAAAAACACAGCACUGUGCAAACACGAAAGUGGACGUAUACGGUGUGACGCCUGCCCGGUGCCGGAAGGUUAAUUGAUGGGGUCAGCGCAAGCGAAGCUCCUGAUCGAAGCCCCGGUAAACGGCGGCCGUAACUAUAACGGUCCUAAGGUAGCGAAAUUCCUUGUCGGGUAAGUUCCGACCUGCACGAAUGGCGUAAUGAUGGCCAGGCUGUCUCCACCCGAGACUCAGUGAAAUUGAACUCGCUGUGAAGAUGCAGUGUACCCGCGGCAAGACGGAAAGACCCCGUGAACCUUUACUAUAGCUUGACACUGAACAUUGAGCCUUGAUGUGUAGGAUAGGUGGGAGGCUUUGAAGUGUGGACGCCAGUCUGCAUGGAGCCGACCUUGAAAUACCACCCUUUAAUGUUUGAUGUUCUAACGUGGACCCGUAAUCCGGGUUGCGGACAGUGUCUGGUGGGUAGUUUGACUGGGGCGGUCUCCUCCUAAAGAGUAACGGAGGAGCACGAAGGUUGGCUAAUCCUGGUCGGACAUCAGGAGGUUAGUGCAAUGGCAUAAGCCAGCUUGACUGCGAGCGUGACGGCGCGAGCAGGUGCGAAAGCAGGUCAUAGUGAUCCGGUGGUUCUGAAUGGAAGGGCCAUCGCUCAACGGAUAAAAGGUACUCCGGGGAUAACAGGCUGAUACCGCCCAAGAGUUCAUAUCGACGGCGGUGUUUGGCACCUCGAUGUCGGCUCAUCACAUCCUGGGGCUGAAGUAGGUCCCAAGGGUAUGGCUGUUCGCCAUUUAAAGUGGUACGCGAGCUGGGUUUAGAACGUCGUGAGACAGUUCGGUCCCUAUCUGCCGUGGGCGCUGGAGAACUGAGGGGGGCUGCUCCUAGUACGAGAGGACCGGAGUGGACGCAUCACUGGUGUUCGGGUUGUCAUGCCAAUGGCACUGCCCGGUAGCUAAAUGCGGAAGAGAUAAGUGCUGAAAGCAUCUAAGCACGAAACUUGCCCCGA